CAGGCAUUAAAAUAGCUUGUCCUUGUACACACUUUGUGUCCUUGUAAAAGGCGAAUGUGCCCUUGUAAAUUGAAAAGUGUGUACUUGAAAAUAUAUUAAACUGAAAAUAUAUUAAUGUAAUCCACGCAAAAUGGCCAAAGAUUUUGCAAACUCUGUUCUCAGAACUCUGGAAAUGCCAUUUCAGGGACCCCUUAAAAGUUCGCGUCUUUGACGCUAAACUUGUGGCUUCGGCACUCGUUCUCGUGAGUCGGCGCAUUUAUACAAAAAGUACGCCUCUGAAGGCAAAGUGUGUCCUUGUAAAAAUUCCGUAUUUUAAUGCCUG